rnacentral:rRNA from 1 species
AUCACGCCGCGUGCGGGAUGAAGGCCUUCGGGCUGUAAACCGCUUUCAGCAGGAACGAAAAUGACGGUACCUGCAGAAGAAGGAGCGGCCAACUACGUGCCAGCAGCCGCGGUGACACGUAGGCUCCAAGCGUUGUCCGGAUUUAUUGGGCGUAAAGAGCUCGUAGGCGGUUGAGUAAGUUGUGUGUGAAAACUCUGGGCUUAACCCGGAGACGCCAUCCGAUACUGCUCUGACUAGAGUUCAGGAGGGGAGUGGGGAAUUCCUAGUGUAGCGGUGAAAUGCGCAGAUAUUAGGAGGAACACCGGUGGCGAAGGCGCCACUCUGGACUGAAACUGACGCUGAGGAGCGAAAGCAUGGGUAGCAAACAGGAUUAGAUACCCUGGUAGUCCAUGCCGUAAACGGUGGGCACUAGGUGUGGGUUCCAACUAACGGGAUCCGCGCCGUCGCUUACGCAUUAAGUGCCCCGCCUGGGGAGUACGGUCGCAAGACUAAAACUCAAAGGAAUUGACGGGGGCCCGCACAAGCAGCGGAGCGUGUUGCUUAAUUCGAUGCUACGCGAAGAACCUUACCUGGGUUUGACAUGUNUGGAAAAGGCACAGAGAUGUGGUGUCCGC